AUGUGUCCCCUGCAGGGAUUUCUCCCGGAAGGUAUGUUUGACCGGAUUCUCACCGGACCGGUUGUGCGGGAAGAAGUGAGCCGGAGAGGAAGGCGCCCCAAAAGUGAGAUUGCCAAGGCAACAGCAGCUGCAGCAGCUGCCACUGCUGCCAGCGUCUCAGUGAACCCUCUGCUAGCUAACGGAUUGCUUCCAGGCGUGGAUCUGCCCAGUCUUCAGGCCUUACAACAGAACCUGCAAAACCUGCAGUCACUGCAAGUAACAGCGGGAUUAAUGGGAAUGCCAGCUGGCCUAACUACUGGAGGAGAAGCGAAGAGCAUGGCUGCCAUGUUCCCCAUGCUGCUGUCAGGGAUGGCUGGAUUACCAAACUUGCUGGGCAUGGGAGGACUUCUGACAAAGUCUACAGAGUCUGUUUCGGAGGAAAAAAAGGGAAGCGAUUCAAAGGAGGCGGAUAUAAAGAAAGAAAGGACAGAAGACCAAAAUAUGGAUACUGGUGGUGAAAACUCUGUUUCAAGUUCUCCUUCAACAUCCUCUGCUGCUGCAGCUGCCAAUCCUCUCUCUCUUAACCCAUUACUUUUGUCCAACAUACUUUACCCAGGGAUGCUUCUCACUCCAGGCCUUAAUCUUCAUAUCCCAGCUUUGUCUCAGUCUAAUAUUUUUGAUGUACAAAACAGUGAAAGCAAUGACACGGGCUCAGCCAAGCCCACAGAAGAAAAGGAGGAAAAUUCUAGGGUUAGAGAUCAGAAAGACAAAGGGGGAACAGAGCCAAGCUCUCACAAUGAAAACAGCACAGAUGAGGGUUCAGAGAAAGCAGAUGCUUCAUCUGGAUCUGAUAGUACAUCGUCUUCAUCUGAGGAUUCAGAUUCUAGUGAUGAAGACUGACCCCAGACUCUGCACUUAAAUUAUAAACUGAUUUUGAAUUUAUUCUUUAAUUAUUUCAUUGUAAAUAACCCAGUGUUGAGUGCAUCAAUGAUUUACCGACCGAACAUUUCAGUAUUUGUUUAGAAGUGCAAACUGCUUUCAGAGACGUUUUGCAUGUAAUAUUUCUUGAAGUUCAUAAGUUUCUGAACUUGUAUGUACUAUCAAAUACACAAUGGUGUAAAAUUACAACAAAAGGCAUUAUAAUUUUGUUGGGGGGUUAAUUUUAUGAAAAUAAUGCUCGAGUAAGAGCUGUAUAUUUAAUAUAUUUGCAGUGAACACAGAAUACUUUAUGCAUAUUAUUGAUUUAAUUUGAAUAUAGUUUUACAGCCUCCUUGACACUUAUAAUUUACAGAUCAAAACUCAGCAAUAAUUUGGGCAGCUAAUGAAUGUCAUGAAAGCUGUAGAAUCUACAUCACCAUCCAUUGCUUUAAUUACAUGAAAAUGCUCUAGUGUUGUGAUGCACUGCUGUUUCCAAUUCAGCUGCUAUUACUCUGACAUAGUCGAGGCCCAGAUUCACAUUUACAGAAGUUCUGAACUGACUGAGACUUCAAUUGACAUUGGUUACAUCGGUCCAAGAA